AACCCACUUGUCUCACUGAGUAGAGGAAAAAGAAAUUGCAGUUCUGGGAGAUUGAAGAAAUUAAGAGAGAGAUGGAAGAAAACAAAGCCCAAAUGGAACCUCUAGAGAUGAAAAACACAAUAUCUGAAAUAAAGAAUACUCUGGACAGCAUUAACAGCAGAUAAGGCACAGCAGAAGAAAAUACCGGUGAACUUGGAGACUUAGUAAAAAUGAUUCGAAGAAAGACAGAGAGAUUUUUUUAACGUGAAGCCAGCAUCAGUGACCCAUGGGAUAGUAUCAAGCA
rnacentral:lncRNA from 1 species